ACCGGCGCACGGGUGAGUAACGCGUAUGCAACCUGCCUUAAACUGGAGAAUAGCUCCCGGAAACGGGGAUUAAUGCUCCAUAAUGUUAUGAGAUCGCAUGAUUUUAUAAUUAAAGCUCCGGCGGUUUAAGAUGGGCAUGCGUACCAUUAGUUAGUUGGUAAGGUAACGGCUUACCAAGGCAGCGAUGGUUAGGGGGUCUAAAAGGAUGGUCCCCCACACUGGUACUGAGACACGGACCAGACUCCUACGGGAGGCAGCAGUGAGGAAUAUUGGUCAAUGGACGCAAGUCUGAACCAGCCAUGCCGCGUGCAGGAUUGAAUGCCCUAUGGGUUGUAAACUGCUUUUCUGUACCAAGAAACGUACUUACGUGUAAGUAUUUGACGGUAGUACAGGAAUAAGCAUCGGCUAACUCCGUGCCAGCAGCCGCGGUAAUACGGAGGAUGCAAGCGUUAUCCGGAUUCAUUAGGUUUAAAGGGUGCGCAGGCGGAAUAAUAAGUCAGUGGUGAAAUCUUGCCGCUUAACGGUGAAACUGCCAUUGAAACUGUUAUUCUUGAGUGUAGUUGAGGUAGGCGGAAUUCCUGGUGUAGCGGUGAAAUGCGUAGAUAUCAGGAGGAACACCAGUGGCGAAGGCGGCUUUCUGGUCCGGAAUUGACGCUGAGGUACUAAAGCGUGGGUAGCAAACAGGAUUAGAUACCCUGGUAGUCCACGCCCUAAACGAUGGAUACUUGAUGUCGGGAUGUUCGGUCGUCUCGGUGUCGUAGCUAACGUGUUAAGUAUCCCGCCUGGGGACUACGGUCGCAAGACUGAAACUCAAAGGAAUUGACGGGGGCCCGCACCAGCGGUGGAACAUGUGGUUUAAUUCGAUGCAACGCGAAGAACCUUACCUGGGCUUGACAUAUAUAUGAAGUAUGUAAGAAAUUAUGUAUUCUGUCUGAUUUUUCAGAUAGCAUAUAUACAGGUGAUGCAUGGCUGUCGUCAGCUCGUGUCGUGAGAUGUAGGGUUAAGUCCCUUAACGAGCGCAACCCUUGCUUUUAGUUGCCAUCAGGUAAUGCUGGGGACUCUAGAAGGACUGCCGAGGUUAACUCGGAGGAAGGUGGGGAUGACGUCAAGUCAGUAUGUCCCUUAUGUCCAGGGCUACACACGUGUUACAAUGGACGGUACAGAGUGCAGCUACGCCGUGAGGCUACGCAAAUCACUUAAAGCCGUUCCCAGUUCGGAUUGGAGUCUGCAAUUCGACUCCAUGAAGUUGGAAUCGCUAGUAAUCGCAGAACAGCAUGCUGCGGUGAAUACGUUCCCGGGCCUUGUACACACCGCCCGUCACGCCAUGGAAGUUGG
rnacentral:rRNA from 1 species